UGGCUCAGUGGUAGAGCGCUUGCCUCGCAUGCAUGAGGCUCUGGGUUCAAUAUUCCUUG
rnacentral:tRNA from 1 species